rnacentral:rRNA from 1 species
UGGCGACCGGGUGAGUAACACGUGACUAACCUACCUUCGAGUGGGGGAUAACCUAGGGAAACCUGGGCUAAUACCGCAUAACAUCUUUGGAGUGGAAAUUCUGAAGAUCAAAGGAGCAAUUCGCUGGAAGAGGGGGUCGCGGCUGAUUAGCUAGUUGGCGGGGUAAUGGCCCACCAAGGCUUUGAUCGGUAGCCGGCCUGAGAGGGCGCACGGCCACACUGGAACUGAAACACGGUCCAG